rnacentral:rRNA from 1 species
GACGAACCGAGCGAACGUUGUUCGGAAUCACUGGGCUUAAAGGGCGCGUAGGCGGGUGUUCAAGUCCGGGGUGAAAUCCUCCAGCUCAACUGGAGAACUGCCUUGGAUACUGGGCACCUCGAGGGUGGUAGGGGUAUGCGGAACUAUCGGUGGAGCGGUGAAAUGCGCAGAUAUCGGGAGGAACACCGGUGGCGAAGGCGGUUCUCUGGGCCUUACCUGACGCUGAGGAGCUAAAGCGUGGGGAGCGAACAGG